UCCAACUGACGGUUGUAGAUGGUCUCACAGACUUUCAUCAGCUCGGGCCGCUUCUCGUUCAGCAGCAGGCCAAACAAACAGGGCCUAAGCAAACAACAAUUAAUUUGCUUGUCUAUAUCACAGCUCCUCCGCCCAAAAGAGAAAAACAACACAAACAUGUCUAUAGUUGCUUGCAAACAAAAAUGUUCCUCCAUGGGUUUCGCCUUUGCAUGAACACAGCGGACACAGUAUAUAUUCCCAUCAGGCUGUGAACCCGGAACGACAGAAUCAUUGAACCACAUGCAAGGCUGUCCUGUCAUGUCCUGCCCAGUCCAUGCGUGAAUGCCUGCUUAAUUUGUAGAGUACUGCCGAAAGCUAAUCUCUCCGCCCAUUCAGCACCAUCAUCAUGGAAAGAGAAACAAACAUACGCACGUAUAUGGCCAUCAUGACACGGGCAGUACCGCCACUGUUACCUAGGUGUAGUUGUAGUAGCAGUACUCCUACCAUCACUGAAGAUCAUCGAAGCCGGCUGUGAGUGUUGAGGGACUCAACGCCCAACCAGACCCAGACGUGAGGAGAUUCAAGAGGAAACUUCACGUACUACUAUUCAUUUGCUUGCCAUUAACGGGGCGCACCGUGCCGAUUUCGUGCUGCUAUGAAACAAGUAGUAACAGCUUGCCGUGCCGAUUUGGUACUACUGCCAUUUUGGCGCGUAAGAUUUCUGUGGAAGCCGCGGGAAGAAUCUCAAACUUUCCCGUACGUGACCAUUGCUAGGUCUACCUAGGAGUUAUUAGGUCAUUUAAAUCUGCUACGCAUCUUUCUGGAUAACCAUGUAAAAACCGACUAUCCUGUUUGGAAUCAAAAGUGAAUAAGCAUUCAUCCACGAUUACAGGAGUAUGAAUAUCCCUCGGAGAAACGCGAUGAUACACGGAGUUUCGUCGGUUUCAGGACGAGUGGGAGAAGCGUCGGUUACGGGGAAGAACCGCCCGACGGUUUAGGAGAAAGCACAUUUCCAUAAUUACAUUAAUGUAAUUAAUCUUAUCACUCCCCUAAUCUAUGUUUGAUCAUGUAGAAUCAUCUUCACGAUUGUCCGGAAAGCUCUAUCAUCUCAAAAGAUUCUCCUCCAAAAGUUCUUCAUCAAAAUUUUGAUGAGAUCCUGAAUCAUAUACUCACAAAGAGAUAGCAUAAUGUGAUGUCAUUAAACAAUGAUAUCUCAAGAAAGAGACUUUCCCUGAUGUGUGUAAGUCCCUUAGUCGUCGCAUACCAAUUCCAUGAACAUAUUUCUGGAAUGUUGAGUUUGGUAGAGACUUAGUAGAUAAAUCAGCAAGGUUGUCAUAUGAUUUGACUUGUAAGAUGCUUAUUUUCCCGUUUUUCUGAAGAUUAUGGGGGAAAACCACUUAGGAGAAAUAUGCUUAGCGAUAUUCUUUUGAUGUAUCAUGUUUGCAUUUGUGCAACACAUGCCGCAUUAUCCUCAUAGAUAAUGAUGGGUGAUCCUAUCGAACCAAUUCCAUAUGAUUGUUGUAUAUGGUUUAUCAUUCUGCGAAGCCAUACACAUUCACAUGAUGCUUUAAAUAAUUAAAAAAAUUCAGAAUGAUUUGUAGAUGUUGCCACUAGAGUCUAUUUUGAAGACUUCCAUGGUAUAACAGUAUCACCAUGUAGGAACACAAAGCCGGUCUGUGAUCUGGCAUUAUGGAGAUCACACAAAUAGCCGGCAUCUGCAUAUCCAAUCAUAUCAGAGUCCAGAUUUCUCUAGAACUGAAAAAAUAGGCCAAGAUCAUUUGUGCCUUG
rnacentral:lncRNA from 1 species